ensembl:lncRNA
AUUUCUAUCUCCUGUUUCAAAAGAAUAUAGGAAGAAUAUUAGUAAAGUCUUUCACUGUUGCUUUCCUGUAGAUCCCAUAGUUUAUUUUGUCUUUGUCCUCAUUCUGUUUUGCUGCUAAAUUGAGGAUGAUGUGUAGCAGAAUGGCAUAUGUACAGAAUAAAGAUCAGUAUCUACCUAUCUUCAGGCAGGUAGGUGACAGUUUCUGGACUUUGAGAGGUCCAGAAGUUGGUCAAUAUUGAAUUUGGUCUUUUCCGUUAAAUACCAUUUACUCUGUGGUGACUGACUCAUGGUAAUCUCUAAACUUGCAGUGUUUGAAGAGCAAAAUUAUGCUAAUUUCUGAUACUCCACAAGACUUCCAGUUAUUUCAUUUGUCUGUUUUGCCAGCUACUAACCCUGUUCUAAAUACAGCCUUUUCCUCAAUCUCUGUUCGUUCAUGAAACUAUGACAAGCAAGGGACAUAUGUUGUCAAGCUGACCUUGAGGAGAUUUAUUUGCAGCCCUCUUUGGCUUGAGUGUUACCAAAAUUUGUGAAGUUUACAACUUAAACUUUUGUUGGUUUUUUUCUCCAGAAAAAAAACAAAAAACAAAAGAAACAUUUCAUGCUGCUCUUUGAAAACACAGCUGCCGCUUUCUAGUAAGCUGCACAGCACACGUUGUGCUGUGAAAUUUUGAUCUUCCCCUUAUUGUUGCAGACAAAGUAAUUAUUUUUAGUUUAACUUGACAGGCUGGUAAUAGGAAACCACUUGAGAAGUGAGAAGGGCUGAAGUUUGUAGAACCUCCUGGCAGCUCUGCACUGAAUCAUCAAGUCUCAAGGGCACAGACGCAUUCCAUAGAAAUGUCACACAGAACUUCUGGAAUAUUAAUCAGAAAAUAGCAAUGAGCUCCCACUUUCACUCAGGCUAAUUCUAGAGUUCUUGUUCAGCAUUCAGUAAUAGGACAGUUUAAGUGAACUCGGGAUUAAAAUAAUGAUACAGAAUUGCAGGGAUUGGAAGGGACCUCAAGAGAUCGAGUCCAACCCUUCUGCUAUAGAAGGUACACUACAAGAGCUCACACAGGUAGGCAUCAGACGAAGCUUGAAUAUCUCCAAGCAUACAAUCCAGGCUUGGGCUGUUUCGGUCAUGGUGAGUUCUUGUGUUCGGUGGGAUGUCUGUAGUUCAUUUUAAUUGUAUUACAAUCACACUUCUUUACAAGAUGGACUCAGUGGAACCUGUAAGUCUACCUCUAGUCUCACAUCUGUAAGACUUGUUCUAUCCAGAGAUAAUGAUUUUUAACUUAUUCUAGGCUUAGACAUUGAUUUUUGCUUUCAGAUUUACUUGAAGAAAAGCUAUGUUUUCUUUUGGACUCUCCAGCAUAGGUUAAUCUUGAGAAAUAAAAAGUAAAUAAUAUGCAAUCAAGAGCAAUAACCUGUUGAGAAGUAUGGAUGGAGUGCUAGCUAAAUUGUCUGUGACAUUUAUUUUUAGAAGUGCUUACGAUGUUAUUGAAUGCAAUGAAAAAAAGCUUCUGUUCAUGUGCCAUUUAAAAAUAAAAAUUGAAUGG